rnacentral:rRNA from 1 species
GACUCCGACUUCAUGGGGUCGAGUUGCAGACCCCAAUCCGAACUGAGACCGGCUUUUUGGGAUUCGCUCCACCUUACGGUAUCGCAGCCCUCUGUACCGGCCAUUGUAGCAUGCGUGAAGCCCAAGACAUAAGGGGCAUGAUGAUUUGACGUCAUCCCCACCUUCCUCCGAGUUGACCCCGGCAGUCUCCCAUGAGUCCCCGGCAUAACCCGCUGGCAACAUAGGACGAGGGUUGCGCUCGUUGCGGGACUUAACCCAACAUCUCACGACACGAGCUGACGACAACCAUGCACCACCUGUGUACGAGUGUCCAAAGAGAACCCCGUCUCGGGGGCUUUCUCGUACAUGUCAAGCCUUGGUAAGGUUCUUCGCGUUGCAUCGAAUUAAUCCGCAUGCUCCGCCGCUUGUGCGGGCCCCCGUCAAUUCCUUUGAGUUUUAGCCUUGCGGCCGUACUCCCCAGGCGGGGCACUUAAUGCGUUAGCUGCGGCACGGAACUCGUGGAAUGAGCCCCACACCUAGUGCCCAACGUUUACGGCAUGGACUACCAGGGUAUCUAAUCCUGUUCGCUCCCCAUGCUUUCGCUCCUCAGCGUCAGUUGCGGCCCAGAGACCUGCCUUCGCCAUCGGUGUUCCUCCUGAUAUCUGCGCAUUCCACCGCUACACCAGGAAUUCCAGUCUCCCCUACCGCACUCUAGUCUGCCCGUACCCGAUGCAAGCCCGAGGUUGAGCCUCGGGAUUUCACACCAGACGCGACAGACCGCCUACGAGCUCUUUACGCCCAAUAAUUCCGGACAACGCUUGCGCCCUACGUAUUACCGCGGCUGCUGGCACGUAGUUAGCCGGCGCUUCUUCUGCAGGUACCGUCACUUGCGCUUCUUCCCUGCUGAAAGAGGUUUACAACCCGAAGGCCGUCAUCCCUCACGCGGCGUCGCUGCAUCAGGCUUGCGCCCAUUGUGCAAUAUUCCCCACUGCUGCCUCCCGUAGGAGUCUGGGCCGUGUCUCAGUCCCAGUGUGGCCGGUCGCCCUCUCAGGCCGGCUACCCGUCGACGCCUUGGUAGGCCAUCACCCCACCAACAAGCUGAUAGGCCGCGAGCCCAUCCCCCACCGAAAAACUUUCCAACCCACACCAUGCGAUGCGAGCUCAUAUCCGGUAUUAGACCCCGUUUCCAAGGCUUAUCCCGAAGUGGAGGGCAGGUUGCUCACGUGUUACUCACCCGUUCGCCACUGAUCCACCCAGCAAGCUGGGCUUCAC